UAAUGAAUGCAGCAAUGAAUACAGCGACUUUUUCCGCAAACAUUCUCUCCUCUGAAUUCUCAACCUACAAAACCCUUGAUCCAAAAUUCUCUGCCUCCAACCUCAUCCACCUCUUCCGUCUAUCCUCAUGCACCUCCUUUGUCCGCCUUGUCCACCCCAACAGGUCCUCUUCUUUGGCGGAGCCUUCUUUUCUCCACCUUGUCCACCUUUUCUUCUCUGUCAAAACUCUCAUCGCUAGUCGCUAAAGUUUUCUCGACAAGCUUGCCUCUAGCAAAACAGUCUCCACGAAACCCAAAAAACCCCAGACCCCCAAAACCAUCUCCACCUUGAGCAAGUUCUCCAUGCGUCGAUGCCUCCUCUUGAGCUCCCUUGGUACUGGUAGCACUAGUGUCGAGCAGUAGCCAAUCAAUGAAGUUGACAAGAUUGAUGGACCAAGGGAUGCGUUCACCUUCUCAAUGUUCUAUGUACAAAUGCGACGAUGGAUUCCCUGAAUCAAUCCCAUCUUCUCCAACUACUUCUGUGACUAGUUUCACAAACCGGCUUGUAACUGCACACGAUGACCUGAAAACCGAUGGUCAUGUUUUAUAUCGCCAAAGUCCUCUAUCUCGUCAGGUUUCUUAUAGCAUGGAAAAGUCAUCAGAGGCUAUGGAUUCUAGUAGCCUUGGCAUUAAGAAUCACUUUCAGAAGGAUUCUGCUAGCUUGGAAAAUGAUGUCAGUAGAGGACAUUUCCACUUCUCAAUAUACAAAUGGGCAGGCAAAGGAGUCACACUAGUGAUGCCCUCUAAGUCAAACUUACAACAUGAGAGUAGGUUUAGAAGAUUGCCUGAAAUAGUUGUGCAAGAAGUUGAUAUGAUCCUCCAUGAAGAUGAUAUGUUGUCGAUACCGAAUACUACAUACAAAAGCGAAGGUAACUUAGCUAAAUCAGUGAAUGGUAUUACAACAGAGACAAAGGUUACUGCAGAGUCAACUACUCCGAAAGGCUCGUUUCCUUCUGAACUUGUGUCCAAGUUCAUUCACAGUGAUGAAACUGAGACAUCAGAUGACAUAGAUAUAUGCAACAGCAAAAAUGAAGGGGUUUCUGUUAUUAUGAAUGAAGCUCAGACACAUAACCUAAAGAAUCUUAAACAGCUGGUUGAUGAUGAUCUGGAAAAACAACAAAAUGAGGAGAUAACUGGGCGAAAAGUCAGAGAUACUACUGUAUCUCCAGAAGAAAAAAUUGCUGGUACUAGGGUGAAGGGAUUGGUUAAAGAUUUCAUUAAAAUCUUCAAUCAGGAAGAUUCACAAAAACGCAAAGGUACAUUUCAAGCUCUGGGUAGAAGGUCUAGAGGAAAAGAUGAAGGAACAGGCAACUUAGAAGAUCAAGUUUUUGUCUUUGUAGACAAAAUAGAUGAACAAGUGAGAACAACCAGUAGGAGCUACGACAGUAGAUUAUCAGGGGCACCUUUUCCAAUAAAUCAAAAUUCAGAAAUGUCGGAGAAAGUUGACUCCAAUAUAAGCUUUGAUGUUCACAUGACUGAUGAUCCUUUAUCAGAAAGGAAAGAUCCAUUGAGACCAUCCUCUGAUUCAACUCCAGAUAUCCUUGAUGGUUCAGUGAAUAUAGAAGACCUUAACUGUGAUGAUCUUGAAGGAUGCUUGAUAGAGACAGUCUCCCCAGAUGACAAGAAAGAUCUGAAAAGCAUUUCAAAUCAAGAUCAAUUUAAGAGCAUAGAUGCUAAGGUGCGGGAAUGGUCAAAAGGAAAGGAAGGAAAUAUACGGUCGCUCCUCUCAACUUUACAAUACGUCCUUUGGCCAGAGAGUGGAUGGAAACCGGUUCCACUUGUUGAUAUAAUUGAAGGAGCCUCUGUGAAGAGAGCAUACCAGAAGGCACUAUUACGUUUACAUCCAGAUAAGCUACAACAAAAAGGUGCAGCGCCACAUCAAAAGUACAUUGCAGAAAAGGUUUUUGACAUUAUGCAGACGAGUGACUUCGCGUAAGUAUGAUGUGCCUGGAUAUGUCAUUGGUUUUAGUAGGACGACUUCAUCUUCUUUGGUUUUUUUUCAGGAGGCUUGGGAUCAUUUCAAUUCAAGCAGUCAGAUAUUUUAGCAUGAACGUGAACAUCCUUCGGUUUAUAUCGACACCAAAGGAUUGGAUUAUAUUUUCUGCAGUUACAAUGAUAUGUGUGAUUUACGCAUCCAGAAUGUGAUUGUUACACAUCAAGAAAGUAAAACACGCUUGUUUCUCUGGCACUGGCUGGAGUUUGUAGUCUCUCCUCUUUUUCCUUCAAUAAACAAUGAAAGGCUUGUAAAAUGGACAGUAUAUGACUGUAUAUAAUUACAUAAUCUGAGAUUUUUUAUAUCAGAUUCUGCGUCUGACAUAAUGAAAAGGAUUACAAAUUUCUUUUA